rnacentral:rRNA from 1 species
UACGUAGGGGGCAAGCGUUGUCCGGAAUCAUUGGGCGUAAAGCGCGCGUAGGCGGCCCGGUAAGUCCGCUCUGAAAGUCCAGGGCUCAAACCCUGGAAAGCGGGUGGAUACUGCCGGGCUAGAAUCCGGAAGAGGCGAGUGGAAUUCCUGGUGUAGCGGUGGAAUGCGCAGAUAUCAGGAGGAACACCAAAUAGCGAAGGCAGCUCGCUGGGACGGUAUUGACGCUAAGGCGCGAAAGCGUG